rnacentral:rRNA from 1 species
GAUGAACGCUGGCGGCGUGCCUAAUACAUGCGAGUCGAGCGAACAGACGAGGGGCUUGCUCCUCUGACGUUAGCGGCGGACGGGUGAGUAACACGUGGAUAACCUACCUAUAAGACUGGGAUAACUUCGGGAAACCGGAGCUAAUACCGGAUAAUAUAUUGAACCGCAUGGUUCAAUAGUGAAAGACGGUUUUGCUGUCACUUAUAGAUGGAUCCGCGCCGCAUUAGCUAGUUGGUAAGGUAACGGCUUACCAAGGCAACGAUGCGUAGCCGACCUGAGAGGGUGAUCGGCCACACUGGAACUGAGACACGGUCCAGACUCCUACGGGAGGCAGCAGUAGGGAAUCUUCCGCAAUGGGCGAAAGCCUGACGGAGCAACGCCGCGUGAGUGAUGAAGGUCUUCGGAUCGUAAAACUCUGUUAUUAGGGAAGAACAAAUGUGUAAGUAACUAUGCACGUCUUGACGGUACCUAAUCAGAAAGCCACGGCUAACUACGUG